UACGUAGGGGGCAAGCGUUGUCCGGAUUUACUGGGCGUAAAGAGCGCGCAGGCGGUCGGAUUAGUCGCGUGUGAAAGCCCCCGGCUCAACUGGGGAGGGUCACGCGAUACUGUUCGACUCGAAGGCAGGAGAGGGAAGUGGAACUCCCGGUGUAGUGGUGAAAUGCGUAGAUAUCGGGAGGAACACCAGUGGCGAAGGCGACUUCCUGGCCUGUUCUUGACGCUGAGGCGCGAAAGCUAGGGUAGCAAACGGG
rnacentral:rRNA from 1 species